CGAUUAUUGAUGGGAAGAUAUUAUUUAACUAUCCAAAAUAUUAUUUAAUUAUUUUCAGAAUUAUUUUCUUUCAAUGUUUAUUCAAAUAGAACUUAAACCCAUCUCAGAAUUUUUAAAUGCUUGAUGACGUCACAUUUAAAACGUGGCAACAUUGGUUUCCCCACUUUGACAGCCAAUGCUUAGUAGAGGGGUACGAAGGAUUCAGCUGUGAACGUGAGCCUUGGAUUGCCAUUGUUUCUCGAGUGUUCGGUCUGAAUCGUAGUGUGCGGGGUCAUUAGACUCAAUUAUUCACCUCUAAUUCUCAGUUCCAAAUUGAUUAAAUAUUACAAUAAAAGUAUAGUGAAGUUAUCCAGCAGCAGUGGAUUUGAAGAAUUUUAGAGCAUACUAUAUCCAAUGAGUUCUACCCCGCACCUACCAUGAAAUCUUAAAGCCACCCUACAACAACACCAAGGCCAGACCACACAGAGAGAAACAAUCAAUAGGCGACCAGCCUGGAUUAUUUCCACAUUUUUUUUUUGAGUACCUCCAGCUGCUUUCCAACAGUUUUGAGUACCUUCAGCUGCUUUCUACCAGUCUUCCUCUCCUGUACCUCCAGCAGGACAGCUGCUAGCGAGAGUUAGCACCCUUGGGUGCUCAUUACAUCAACUUCAAGAUUAGGAAAGAGUGGUUUGUUUGGGAACAUUUACUGUGCUCUUAUUAAAGACAGACUGGUUUUGUGAUAUUUAGUACAUUUUUUUUUUAUAGUUCAAUUGCACACACAUUUUUCCUGCUUUAUAUUUUUUAUAGGUUUUUUUUUCUUUACAACAUAAUAUUUAAUUGAUAGCGUUCCCCAACACUCUGCAAUCUAUAAAGGUAUAAAUUUCUGAGCUCAGAUAUUUUCCCUGAUAAUAGUAGUCGGUACUCUUAUCUUGAUUAUUUUUAGGCUGUGUUCCACUUUUGUAUAAUUAUUUAAACUCAUUCCAUUAUUUUAGUAUAUGUUUAAUUAAAUUUUUAAAAAUUAACUUCACAUAUUAGUCAAAAAUUGUAAUUAUUAACUUUAUUUAACUUGAACUUAUUAACUUUACUUAACUUUAACUUAUUAACUUUAUUUAACUUUAACUUUAAUUUAUUAAAUUCAUAUGAACUUCUGGAUUCUAAUCCCUCAGAUUAGUUUUUGGUUUCACUUGUUAUUAUUACUAUUAUAAACCACGAGUUAGGAAAAGGAUCUGUGUAUCCACUCGUAGGUUUAUUUAUUCAAUAAGGCUUGUGCCUGUCCCACUCACAGUGAGGUAUUUAUAUGUUAUAUAUAGUAUCAGGUAGUAUUUAAUUAAGGUGUACGUAUUAUAAACGUACAAUUAUUAUUUGGUGAGGGUUCUACUAACCUAGUUGUAAGUUGUACUUCCUGUAUUAGAGGUACCCGUAGUCAGUUUUUCUAACCUUAUAAAGAGUAUUCUUAGAUCAUAGUUGUAUGAUGAUUUUGUAAUUGACUUUCACUAGUAUCACUUUUUCCUGUCAUGUUAGAGUUACACACUAGUUACUUGUCCUAACUCAGAGAUUGUUAAAAAGAUCUAGUAGUUACAUUCAAUAAAUAUACAUUUAUUGUGAUUUUUUUUUUCUUAUUACUCCUUUAUUUUUAGUAGUAUAUUUUAUAAUUUAAUAAUCUUUAAUAACUUUUCACAUACUUGUACUACAAAUUUAACAUACUCUAUAGCAGCGUAGAAUACCUGGAAGAGCGUUAACCUAGUUAUCCUUCUUCUGGCGCCCAAAAAUUCAUUCUAUUUUCAGUAUAUUAUUAUAUUUACUCUAUCUAUUUUCUGAACAUUAUCUUCAUAUCUUCUUUUCGAGCCAUCAUUGUCACUUCCUUUAAUCUAUUGUCUGGCCAAAAAUAGCCGUGCAAAUUGGCCGAAUCCUUCCUUGAGUGUCAAGUGGCCCUUCUCAUACAUAUUUAGCUAGCCAUUCAAGUUAUAUCUAUCUAUUAAUGAUUUCUCAUCUCUAGUCCUGUAUCAAUUCGAUAUUCUUUGUCUUGGCAUCCUUCCAUACAAAUACUACUACAAAGUUGUAUUUUAGUUACUCCAGCUUCUUCAACGGAGAAGCCACACAUUUUUGUCCUUUGGCUACAUUAAGUAGAUCUUCUUCUUUUUACUACUUCUGUUGGAGUUUACCACUCCCUUUUCAUUCACUCCAACAGAAAAUCAUCAGCUAGUUGUU
rnacentral:misc_RNA from 1 species